CAAAGCAUAGCUUAACCAAAAGCACCCGGCCUACGCCCAGAAGAUAUCAAAUAAAAUGAUUGCUUUGA
rnacentral:tRNA from 1 species